GGAAUAUUUUAGUGCCUGGGUAGCCAGGGUCUGUAAUUUCAAGUCAGUGAUCUGGCAAUGAUCAGCAAUCAAACAAAGCAAAUUCCUGUACGAUAUUACAUGCUUCAAUGACAUUUUGGUUUCUGACCAAAAAGCAGUGAGCUUUCAGUAAUAAAAGAAUCAUUCUGUGGACUGUGGUCAUACUGUCACUUUUGCAGCUAUUGGCACAGGAAUAACUAAGGGAUCAUAAGGGAUCCUGCUUGAGAAGCUGUUACUGGAGCCAGACUGAAAAACAGCAGCUAUUCCAACUGCUGCAAAAGGGAAGAACAAGGGUGCUCUUGUACUGCCAAACAAAUAUUGUAAGGAACUGAACCCAGUGUCGUCCUGUUUGCUGCCUGCCAAGUGUGGCCACCUGGAGGACAAGAAAGAUGACAGCUAUUCUGCCUGACAUAUUGAAAAAGUACAAAUACAAGCCAACAGCUUCUAACAGGUAAAGAUAAGGAAAAGAAAGGACUGAAGUUAUGUUGCAUCUUUUCAUUUCAAAUUUCUUUGCAACUGCCUUCCAAGUAUCUGUAAGAAAAUGUCAGUAUCCUGGGCAUAUAAUUUAGAGCAACUAAUUUUGUUAAACACAUUUAUUCUAAUUUUCCUCUCAUUUUCAUUUGUUGUAUCUCACUAAAUAUCUACAUCUAAAUGAAUGAUGUCAGACAUCUCGCAUGCCUAGUGGGUUUUGUUGUUGUUGUAUUUUUAAGUUUAUUUUCAAUAUAUGUUCUGUUCUGUGUUUGGUCAGAACCAAACAUGACCACUAAUUUUGCUGAUAAGAACUUUACCUGCUCUCUUGCUCUUCUUCAGCACUGGGCAUUUAAUUCUGCAGCUGUUCUACAGCUAUGGAAGAACAUGGCUUUGGGAUAUAGGCUACAUGCUGCUGUAAGUACAAAUGUUCUGUAUGCAGGGGCAGAAGUUUUGCUGUGAUGCAGUAGCUACAAGUUUGAGAGCACCUUCAUGGUUGACGAUGUUCAGGCUACUAGAAGUCAGAAAUACAGAACUGAUAUGGUUGCUUUCAGCAUAAUAUAGAUGAAGCUUAGCACGAGGCAAAUUAAAUUGUUUUGAGAUAAUGCUUUGUGUAGGGGUAGUCUCAAACACCUCACAUUUCCAAGUCAUCAAGUUUUUUUUACAUAAAGAAUAUCUUUGAGUUAUGUUUCUAAAAGAGAAGUGACUGAAGAGAUGAUCAUCUUACUUUUAAAUGUGUGACAUGAAAAACUUUUAUGUUCCUCCUUUUCUGUUAGAGACAUGAACCACUGCUGCUCUUCCCAGAAAAAUCACAUACCUUGGCAAGCUCUGCCUGCCCUUAGGCAAACCAUCUUUCUCACUUCCCAUGAGAAUAUCCUAGUCAUUGGGAAAUGCAGAUGGUGGUACACUGCCACACUGGCUUCACUACUCCCCUGAGAGAUAUCAAAUCAUCUCAUGCAGCUUGCUAGGUAAUAUACCCAGCGAUGGCUGUGGCCAGAAUCUUCAACAUGAGAAGGGAAAAGAUGUUGUGCAGCACAGAAGAAAUUAAUGAAUGAAGAAAGCUGAACUUAGAAAGGAAAUAUAAUUGCACAACACCAGGAGGAUAUUUCUGAAUUAGCAAGUUAAAUGACAGAUACUUCUAUAUUUUGAUGUCUUACCUUCAUUCAACAAAAAUCCAUCACUUUCGAUAUGAGAUUCUUUGGUCCUGCUACAUGAAGUGUAGACACAAAAAUUGUAACUAUGAAGGAGGAAAAUGGCUAAAAAGUAUUUUCAGGUUUGUAGUCUCCUUCAGUUUCUACUGAAUUAGAUUUCUUUAGCAUAAAAAGAGGUGUAUUUUUCUGUGAGGUUGGAACAAUUGGCAUUGUUGACUUCUUAUGUCAGUAAUGAUGAACAUCUCAUUUUGUUAAUUUCAGUAGCAUUUUCAAAAGAAAAAAAUGUCAUCUGUUUCUGGUGCACGGCUCUUUAAAUUUCAGGGAAGAAGUUCAGAUCAUGGCUCAAGUCAUGUUUUAGUGACUGUAAAGUAUUCAUUAGGAAAAAUGGCAAACAGUUUACAACUACUACAUGUGCUGGCAGGCUAUUGCCUCUAGCUUGGUAACGGUACUGUUGUGUUCUGAUAGUUGUGUUAUUGCCUGCAGUAUAGUCACUGACUCAGUAGGAGAACUUUGCUAACAAAAUCAAGUCAGAUGUUGCUAAAAGCCUGAACAAUAUGACAUGAAUUAAAAACUACAGACGGAACUUCACACGUACCAUAUAAUGACUGUUUACAACCUAAUGCCAAUGUGAAGAUUUUCUUUGUGUUAGUUUUGGGACUCUCAGGGAGCGAGGCUUUUGAGUAAUGCUUGUCUUCGGUCACUGGAGAGGCAAGAGUUACAAAAACUGCUCCUGGAGUAGCUCAUAAAUAUCAAUAGGCCCAGUUUUCUGUGAAACCCUGUGGCAAGCAGUACAAGUUUGAAAACAAGAGUGUCUUCUCUGGGCAAAAAUGGAUAAUGAAAUUGUCCUGCAAGUUGGAUGUGUGCUGUGAGCUGCCAGCUGGGCCCCUCCUCUAAAAAAGUGGAUUUAAAAUACUUUGUAUAUUUGCAACCCAAGGCAAAAAAUCUAUUUACAUUCCAAAGCAAACUCCCCCAACUCUGAAGGCUGAUACUUCCUCAUUUCUAUAGGGAGUAUGCCAAGCUAAAUCAUUUGCUCUUGCUGGCAGGACUGUUUUUAAAUUCCCAGGUGGAAACCUAAGGAAACCAGAUGUCAUUUGAAAAUUUAUUUCGUGAGAUAUUAAAAACAAAACAGAAAAGCAACACCACAGGAUGCAUCUCUCCAUGCAGAAGGUAAAAUGCAGUACAAAAAACAGUAGUACCCAAUUUGGUCUAGCCCAUUUAAAUUACAGUUAUUUUCAGGUGCUGCCACAGGGCAAGCUCACGGCACGUUCUCUGGGCCCUGAGGAUAUCACCAGCCCUGAGCAUCCCUGCCCACCCUCCUGGGUCUCCCAGGUUCUUGCCUGCCCAGGCCCAGGUCCACACAUGAGCUCCUGAGUUGUCAGCCUGUCAAUCCCAGCCCUAGUGAGGUCACGGCAGGGCCAGGCUCCAGCAGCCUCCCCACAACCCAGCCAGGGGCCCGUACAUACUGAUGAUGGGCAUCUAUCAAUCUCAAGCAUGCCCUUAGAUCUUCUAACAGGACCGCUUUGACUGUCACUGCAGAUAUGGUUUAUGUGAAUCUGUAUGAACAGAUCUGAAUUUCACCCUGUUUGAUGAAUACUUUUUUAUACAUGCUGAGUGAAGGGUCAUGUAGGUGUAAUUAUAGAAAUGUAAAAUCAGCUUGAUAUAUUUGUUCUCUGCAGUUAUUUCUGAAAUAAUCUGGAAGGUCAUAAAGAUAAUUUGUAAAACAUGUGCCAGCUUGUAAAAAUGUUUGGGAGUGUGGAAGACCUAUUAGUUCUACCCUUAGCUUAUUUAUAUCCUUUCUGGACAGAGGAUGGGUAAGUAACUCUGAGUAUAUGUCCCUGGCUGAGUCAUAUCCUUAAAAUGUUGAAAACCAGGAAAUUAUUGUUUAUGAGGGAUAUAUGUUUCAUUUUUCUCACUGUUUUAUUGCCUUACAAAUCACGUUAUAGGGAAAAGCAAAUAUUUUGAAACGUAAUUAAUAACUUUUGAGAGCUAAUGGAUUCAAAGAUGAGCUAUAGCAGUAAUUGGUUGCAUUGAGACAUUUAUGUUUUGUAAAGCUGCCCUGACUGUUUUUCCAUUACUACCCCUUGGUAAUGUACAAGUCAAUUUAUCUUUCAAAUGUUCUUUAAAUAUGCUCAGAGCUUUUCCUCCCUCUUCAGGCACAUUGUGAGUGUCUAUCUAUAGUUUCCUCUGUGAAGCUUCAAGGGUGACCAUUCAGUGAAAGCAAGAGUCUCUUCCUACUGAAAGAUGAAGAAGUAAUUAUUAGUAAUGUUGCUUCUUUUCACUGUCUGUUUCCAUGGGGCAUUAAAUGAUAAUCAUAAGUUAUGUAGGUGAUUUAAAGCAGGAGUCCACAAGCCUCAUGGCACAGAUACAGGAAUGCACAUCCAGGAAGGCCAUGACUGGCUCAAUGCUGCUGCGGCCAACGUGCUGUGAAGCUUCAGCAUCAAUUUAAGCUGGAAGCAGCAAUGUAAAGAUUGUUCCCAGAACCUUGCAAUGUUAGGUCUGAGAUUUACCUUUGUAUAAAUUCUCCAUUAUUCUCUGAAUCAAUUUGAUAAAGUUGGCUUAGUCAAAGCCUUGUGGGAUUUUUAUCAUGAAGUUUUUUUUUUCCAUAGACUUCUUAGGGUUCUCAGUCAUACUGGAGAAAGAUAAAUGAGGCUGGUGAAAAAAUAAGCCAUGAUUAUGAGGAGCCUGACCCUGCAAACUAUUUGUUCUCUCUUAUAACCUUGCAGGUCUGGCUUCCUGUUCCUGACCAAGGGAAUGAGAACCAAAAGCUUCAGUCAAUGCUGUGUUACGUAUAUGGGUUUCUGCUUCUCUUAUACUAACUCUGUUAACAUGAAGCAUACAACCAAUGUUUUAGGUGUUGUUUUCCUUCUUCUGAAGGCCUGCUAAACUGAGAACAGUUUAUUCAAAGCAAAAUAGCAUUUGGAUGCCAAAAGAGCAGCAAGGAAAAUGGCUAAAAUAACCCUCUGAUCUCCUUCCCCUUCCCCACUCCCACAAAACUAAAAUCAUUCUGUACCUGAAACAGUCUUUCUGCCCAUGCCUCUGUUAUAUUGCUGUCUAUAGUGGAAGAACUGUAUUGCUUGCUCUGGUCCCUGACUCUCCCUGACUCCAUCAUACAGUGCAUCAAAACAGGAGCCAGGAACUCUGGCACUAAAUGGACCACAGGUCUUGUCACUGGUGCAGUUCAGAGCAGUUUCUGGCAUGUUUUUAGCCCAGGACUAUUGCUUAUUCCACAUUCAGUUUACGAAUUUAACAGUAUGAAUGUAGGCCUUUGUGCCAGACAGCCUCAGAGCCAGAAAAUGGUCUCAGGCACAUUUCAAUUCACAGUAUAAAGGUAGCAUUCAGGUCAAAAUGUGUUUUUACACCUCUGUCAGCUUUCUCAAAAGCACCACUUAGAAUCCCUCUUUCUAAGACUGUUAUUUUAGACUAUUAAAUUGCAUAGACUUCUGGAUUUUAAAGCUAAGAUAAACUCAAGACAUUAUUUCUUAGGCUGAAAGAAGCAGUUCAAGUGUGGCAUGAAAAUAGGACCAUGAAAUGAAGAAGAAAAAUGAUAAAAAGAAGAUGAAGAUUCUGACUGCUUAAAAAAAAAAAAAAAAAGGAAGAAAUGCUCAACUUUGGUGUAAUUUCUGGGUGUCCAAACCUUUGGCUUCCCUGGGCCACACUGAGUGAACAGGAAUUGUCUUGGGCCACACACACAGAGGUUGCCCUGAAAGUAAUACCUCCUACUUAUUUCCAUGGAAAUUACAACAAAGAACACAAUAACACUGUUUCACAGAGCAAAUUCACAGCUACAGAAAAAUGUUUUUCAAUAUAGUUAACACCAUUAGCUAUGUAUUUUUGCCAGUGAUGAACGAGGGCCUGCAUAUCAUGCUUGACUAAAUCUGCAACAGUGGAGGUGACCCAAAGUCACUGUCGCCACUGCUGAAAUGCAUGACCCACUGCCUCAGUGUUCUCCAAUUCACUGUUUAGUCUCCAGAAACUAUCAGCAAGCAUCAAUGAAUGUCAGUGGAUGCCAUUUUCUUCUGCAUGGAGGAAUUUAAUUACACACCUUUGCUUCAUACUCACUUCCAUGCCAAAUGCCAUUUUGUCAGAUUGCCACUCUGUGUCAUCUGUUGCACAGCAACAAAAUUUAACAGAAUAUUGGUGGGAAGGUUCAACCUCUACUGCCAUACCACCAAUAUACACCACUGAUGUCACUUGUCAACAGAAGAAAAUAGGAGGCAUUACUUUUGGAGCACCCCUCAUAAAAUAUAUAUUUCAUGUCUAUAAGUAACAAAAUUUAUUUUAAUAGUUAAUCUUUUUAUUAAAUAAAAAAUAAACAUGAGAGCAACAAAAAUAUAAAACUAGUGGGAUAUUUGACUUUGUUUUUGUGAAACGAAUGCCUCAGGCUGGCUUGAUGGCAGUGGCUGCAAUUCUUUGUGAGCUCUCAAGGUAAACAUUUUUAAUGAAAUUUUACUUCUCCUUCCUAUCCUUGAAAUAGUUGUUCACAAAUAUGCACAUUGACAAAAAGCAAUGAUGUGAAUAAGGUGUGAUUAAGAGGUGAGGAAUGUUUUUCUCUGGUAAGCUAAGGCUAAUAAAAGUAAAGUGACAUGGUCAGGUUUUUGAGUUGCAAAUACACCAAAUAGUGAUGCUUGUUUUGGUGAUCUUGAAACCUGUUCUCAAAUUCCUUUAUCAAAAGGAAAAGUACAGCAGCACAUUUUUUGCUGUUCACAGGACUGUGUUUAGCCAGACUCAAAAUGCAUACAUUUAUUUGCUACAACUCUUAGCACUGCACUGUGCCCUCCCUGUGUAUUGGUUGCAGCUCAGGCAGUGUUAAUAGUGCACAAAUGUUUGGUUGUUGCUGAGCAGUGGGUGCACUCUGGGGCUGGGCAGAGCUGCAGUGGGGGACAGAUGGCACAUGUCAGGGGCGAGGCUGCAUUGCCAACUGCACCAGGCCACGUGUGGCCCAUGGGUUGAACAUGCCUAGUCUGAUGUAAUCUAGAUCUAAAUGCCUGUGGUCUAAAGCAAAAACAAAAUAUCAAAACCUCAGAAUUUCGCAUGAAUGGAAAUGUCAUUUUCCAGCCAUCUUUUUCAGUAGAUCUGCAAAAGCACACCCUUAAAUUCCCCAAAGAUUGCUGCCGCUGCUGAGAUGACAUCAGCAUUUUUUCUUAAAGAAGAAAAUACCAUGCCAUUAAUCUGAGACAAUCCUUUGUCAAAAGUGAACGCUGGAAUACUUACAGUUCUGAACUUGUCCUGAAAUAGCUUUGUAUCACUAGUGCCAAUACUUGACUCAUUUCAUCCUUUUUAAAACACACCUGUAAAAAUAAUGCUUAAUUCCCAAGUAUGUGAUUUUAGAAUACACAUUAUUCCAAACAAGCAGCUGUUAAGAACUUAUCUUUACUUCCUUACUUUACUUAGUGUUUUUUAAUGUACUGGUCUUGUUCUUAGGCUUUUUUUGUCCAGAAAGAUUGGUAUCAAGGAAAUCUCUAUAUUGUUCUUUAUCUUAUAUAGGACCAAUAUGGGAUCUAGUUACAUUUUAAACUGUUAUCUAAUGCAAAGUUUACCUGCUGUGAAAAUAAAGCCCUUUUCUGAUGUAGGUUUUGUAGUCAGAGAUUACCUUCAUUGAAAGCUAAGAUGUCUUGUUUCAGAAAUUUGCUUUCAUUCUCCAUUAGUUACAAACAGCAAAUUGACAAGAGCAUUUAUUUUACUUUAUUUAUUUCAUUUUCUCUUAUUUUAGUAACUAAACAGUGUCCAAAUGCUUAUUGUAAUUAUUUUUAAAUACUGAGUUGUAUUUUUUUUGCACCUUUUCCAACAUUGUGUUUAAUGUGAAAUUUUCUUACAUACGUCACUGGUGAACAGUUUAGGAGAAAUAUCUUUAGUAUUCUUCACUUUUCUAGCUAGAAACCGUAGUGACAAGCCAUAAAUGCUUUAGUCUCUGCUGGGGAUUUAUUAACACUGUGAAGGAAUCUGGCAGUCUUGUUAGGAGCUAUACAUACCUCCGAAAAAAAACCUGCUCCUUUGAAAUGAAAGUUUUGGUUGUUUCCCUUAAGGCAGCUUGAAGUUUGUCAGGUUUCUACAAAUCUUUCUGUUGGUGUUUUAUUUUUAUUUUUUUAAUGGGAAAGAACAGCUGUUAUUUUUCAAGAGUUUCAAGAUCUUCAUGCGCACAAUUAAGCAUGCAAAGUGGAACCAAAUUCUUUGUUAAGUAAAGUAAAAUGUGUGUAUUUCACAUUAAGCAUUGAAAUAAACAUGGAAAUAAAGCUAGCAUCUUUUCUGCAGAAAAAAAAAUAAGUCAUGCUAGAAAGCAUUUUAGGUUUAUUGAAGCUCAAGGCAAUGAAAUCAUGUAUAUUAAUGCUGUUCUAAGGGAAGAGAAUAAGAUUGUAUGAAGAAGUGAAUGAUUAUAAUAUAACAGGAUUUUUUUUUUUUUUUUUUUUUUUUUUUUUUUUACCACAAGAUCUGUUAGGAUCUGUUAUUCAUUGUCUGUCAGGUCUGCAUUUCACUCUGUUUUUCCUCCUAGCCUUUAAAUUCUUGAUGCACAGUUUGUUUCUGUUGUCCAUCCCUUUCACACAUGAUGUGUCUUAAAGUUGUUGGUUCUCUUUCAAGUCACACUGUUUUCUUGAGUAAAUAGUAACAUCUCACUGGGUAAGUGUCCUCUUCAUGGGGAAUAGGUGUAUCAUCCAUGCUUCUCGGCAUGGCCUCUUGUUUGUCAUGGAAAUACGCUCUGCUCAUUGCUAUGUCAGUAACUUUUUCUUUGAUAUUCUUUUUUUUCUUUUUCUUUUUCUUUUUCUUUUUUUCUGUGCAUUUUGCUUUCUGAUUUGUUCUUGCUGACGGACUGAAAGUACUUGUAUAAAAUUUUAUUUAAUCAUUUGUCAUAUUCGGAAAGUCAGGACUCCACAACAUAAAGCAAGAUUGAGGAAACAUCCUCCAUCAGUCUUUCUUUGCAGUUUUCCUUAAUUCCAUCCAACAGAUCAGGUAGUUGACCUUCUGUCUAUGCAUCUUUCCUUAAAUACUUAAGUUCAUUUAGGUAUUCAUAUUUAUUUCUGUCAUUUUUCUCUCAUGUUAUUUAGAAAAAAUGCUUGGAUUUCACUCCUCAGUUAAUAAUGAUGCUUGUCAUCAUUCUGAGGUUUUAUGUGCAAUCUUUAACUGGUAUCAAGCUGUGUAACAGAAUCUCGGUUCUACAGUUUACAGCAUACUCAGAGAUUGCUAUACCCAAAAGCAAUUCAAAGAGCAGAAGAAACUUGAAUUACUGUGGGAAUACAAGAAAGGCUAUUCAGAGCAGAAGCUGUGUAGCAAGAUAAAUGGCGUGAGAAAGCAAUGCUGAGAACCAAGGACAUUUCCACAAGAAGAGAAAAAUGAAGUCAAGUAAGCUGCAUGAUGGCUACAUGAUAACAACCAUGAUUGGAGGAAGGGCGCAUGGCUAGGAAUGACUCAUGACUCUUAUUGGAUAAGUGCCUGCAUGCACGGUUAAGGAGUGCUUACGAAAUGUUUUGUUGACAUUUAGAGGGAGGUGGGAAAAUUACUAGAGAAAACUUGUGAAAGUAUUUAAGGGAUGUUAGAACCUGCAAUAAAUGAUUUGAAUCAUUCACAUCUGAGUCCGUGCCUCAGACAUUGCAAAUUACCACCUUUGCACAUUGCUUGAAACUUGAGUUUCCCAGUAACACUGAGAGGCUGUCUUCCCUGGAGAUCAGUACAGCUCUAAGGCCUUUCUUUGUAUGUUGUGUUUCUCAGCAGGGACACAAUGAAGCUGUUUAAAUGAUCAUACAAAUAAGUACAACAAUUCUCCUUUUGGAAAGCUCUCAAGAAACACAGGUCUUCUUUCAUAUUGUGUUAGCAAUUAAGAGAUUGUGCUAAGUUUUGAUUUCUCUGAAAACAAUGAGUGCAAUUGAAAGAAACUUACCAGUCAGAAGCUUGACAGUUGGAUUGCCCGAUGCUGUCUUCCUCUAAUCUGGCAUCUUUCUGAUUUCUCUCUCUGAAACCCAGUUGAAUGGAUCUCGUCUAUUGUGUGGCAAAAUAUUGAAUUCUUAGAGGAGUAUCUAACACUUAGAAGUGGACGUAUCUCUUGGCUUUUACUGAAGAAAAAUUGAAAUUUCCCCUGUGCAACAUGGAUUUUUUGAGUAAAACUGAUUUUUUUCUAAUGUAAAUACAUACUGAUUGGAAAGCUCAAUUAUCUAUAUGUACAUAUUUACUGAAUGAAAGAAACCUCUCUCCCAAAAUAGACAACAAUAGGAACAUUUUUAUUUAUAAAGAUAGAAUAUAAUGAUUUUGGCUGUUAUUAUGUACAGUGAUACACAUUUGGUAACCUUGAAAAAUGAAUAUAUUGUUCUUGAGCUACUGCUAAUGUGUUAAGAUGCUUGCAGCAGUUAGAGACAUGUUUGCUGUACAAAUGGCAAGGGCUUGUAUAAGUUUGUUUCGUAAUGUGUUGCUAUCUUUCACUAACAUGUAUGUAAUACAAAGGAAUUCUAGGUGGGAAUUCUAUCUGUACAGAGAUUGCACAGCAUCAUUUCAUUUGCAUCAAUUUAUGUCAUGCUCUUUUGAAAAAACACUACCUUCUUAUCUACAAAUAGAGGUAGAGGUUUGCUUAGUACCUGAUUUCUUGUUCAGUUUCUUCAAGAAGAGACAGUUAAUUUUGAAUAGUGUCAUCUUUUCAAAAAGAGAACAAAGUAUGAAUUAAAAAUACUAUGUGAAGUAAUACAAACUUUCAAGGUAAAAAACAAAACAAAACAAAAAUGACAACAACAACAACAACAAAAGCAAGCAAGCAAGUAUACAGCUUCUUGCCCUUGCAAAGUGGGAGCCAUCAUUUUAGAAUUCUUCAAAUCAUGUCAUCAUUUCCUAUAAUAUCACAUAAUGGCCAGCUGGCACACUGAAAUAAUGAAAUGUUGACUCUACUGAAUAUUAAGAGUGUUAUUCUUAUUAUGAAGGCCAUUGUUAGUGCAUAUAGAAGCUCUUAAAGAUGCAAAUCUUUGUUACUUUUCAACAGCCUGCUUUAGAAAAAAGAAAUUCAAUGGAAUGUAGCACAGCCUUGUUGUUAUAAUAUAUCUUGUAAUACAUACUUUUUGUUACAUCAAAAGCUUCUCAGAUGGUCAAAGACAAAAGACAUAAUUGAAUUACAUAUUUAAUUUGUUUUAACGAGACACCUGUAACUGGGACACUUUAAGGUACGAAACAUAAAUCUUGUGUACAUAGAGCAGAAGAUUGUUUUCUAACAAGAAGUCAAAAGUAGCAGGUUGGGAACCAUUUUUCUCUUUUUUACUUAAAUAUAGCUAAUAUCAAACAUUAACAAUUACUUCUAAUAAGAAGCACUGUAAAGUUAUGAUUGGAAUAAAAUGGCAUUUGUUUUUAAUAAUGCAUAUGAUAUAGUAAUGAUAUUAAGGUUGGAAGUAAUUCAACGCACAGAUUAUUUUACUUUUACAGUCAAAGAGUACAUCCUUCUCUCUCCAAUCUUUCCACACUACGUGGCUCAAAGGAAAUCAUACAGGUAUUUCAUAGCUCUUAAUGUUUAAAUCCCAGUUCAUGCACACGGUUAUUCUUGUGAAUCUAUGGAUUUAUCCAUAUCUAUGAAAUUAAACAAAUGCUUUAGGCUUUGUUGGAAGGGAAUGCAUAAAUUUUUACUAUCAAAAAUGGAAAUUGAUUGAAGUUUGUAGAGAAAAACAGUUUUUUGUUUAUUUUUGACUAAACUAUGUGUUGGUCCUAUGAAUGUGUCUCACUAAUAAUUUGAACAUCACAUCACAAAAAUACUACAACUUUUUAAAAGAAAAAACAAAGCACAUCAAGCACACAAACAGAUCUGUAAGUCACAUCUCAGUUACAGAAGUUUUGCAUGUGCUUCUUUCAUUCUUACUUUGUGAACACCUCAGGACAAUUUACAUACAAAUUUCUUAAUAUGUUGUUUUAAAGAGUAAGAAAAUGAAGUUGAAAUUCUCCUUUAAUUAUUGCCCUCAGCUGACUGGGGCUAAAGUGGGACUAGUGUCCAAACAAUAACUUAUUAUUUUUUGUGUGCUCUAUACCAGCCACUGCCUGACGUUCAGACUACUGCUUUGCAGCAGAAAGAAUAACGAGUUAGAAAGACAAGGGCAGAAGGUAGAGGGAGAGGGAUAUUGGGGUAGAGCUGGCAGAGAAAGCUAGAAAGAGUAGAUGGAGAGCAGAGGAGACUUGCUGGGAGGAGUUGGUGGGAAUCCAGGUCACUGAAGGAUUUAGGGGAUAUAAACAAAUCUAGAGAACCAAAAGUGGAUUCUGUAUAUGUCUCUGGGACUGAAUGAGCAAGAAAAUGAUUGGCAUUAGGAAAAAGUGGCUUGAUAGUAUGGCUGGGACUGGCAGGGUGAAUAGAACCAGCAUAGACAAGGGCAAAGGCAGGGCAGAAAUUUUGUGCGUGGAGACUAUGCACUGUCAGAGCUUAUUUGGAAGCCCAGAUCCAUAAGUCUUAAUAGCCUUGUUUUGAGCAAUCCUGAUGCUGUGAUGGUUUCCAACAGGAGUAAAGCUAAAGGAGCCCAAUUUUUUAAAGUCUUAUAGGGGGAAUAAGCAGUUUCCUGUAGCUAUAGCAAAGGCUUUAUUUCUAGAGCAAACUAGUAAGAAAAAGGAAAUGGUAUAUCAUCCUGAAAGUAAACUGUAAAAUGUAUAUCGUAUUGCUGCUGAAUGUUGCCAUAACAGCCUUCAUUUCAUCAUGUAAUAACUUCUUUUAGCAUACUCUCUUGGAUUAAUUCCUUUUAAAACUUUGCGUUUGAAAAUAUUGAAUGUAGUUGCGCCCAGUUUUCUCUCCUUGGUUUCUUCAUCUCCUUCUCAAGAUAAAAUUACAGCAAACUCUGUGACUCUGUGCCAUGCUGAAAGCUACAUGAACAUUUAAUGACUAUAUUCUCAUCCAGACAUCUAAUGGACUGAAUUUUUUUUUUUUUUUUUGCUCAGGAUCACACAGGAUGUCUUUGGCAGAAUUUUAUUAGCUAGUUGCUAUGCCAUUUUGUCUUUUUCUCUGAAGUCAGAAAUAGGUCCUCCUUCUAUGAUUAUUUUAUUCCAUCAGCAAAUUCUAUUCUGAAUUAGAAUUAUUUUGUUCUAUUGUUCCAGAAUUGUUCUAUUCUGUUCUAGAAUUGUUCUAUUCUGAACAAUUAUUCCUCUUGAGACAGCGGAAAGUGAGCCUCAAUAUAUGGUGAACCCAUGGUGUUUGGAAAUGUUUAAUUUCUUCACUUCAGUUCACAAUCACUCUAGGGAAUUUCUGAGAAGGACAAUACUAUUAGAAGUUCUGAGAAGAACUCAAAAACUUGCAGCAAACUUCUACUGCUAAAAUGGCUAGUGACCAUAAGAAUGAAUGUAUGGUCUACUGAGAGCAGCAGGCACUUCUUUCAUUAGCCUGAUAGAAAAGUAUUUCAUAAAUAUAUAGUGCUCUGCAGUUGAUGGAGUCUUCACAAAAUGCUGGUAGUUUUAAUGCAGAUUGCUACAAGAUUCCAUUAACUCACUGGUGAUGAUCUGAUUUUUUUUUUUUUUUUUUUUUACAGUGUAAAUGUGUUUUUCUUCUACUUUCUGAUUGGUAUGAAAACAAAUGAAUGUGUGCAGAUGCUGCUUUUAUGCCUGAAAUUAGCAGAACACCAUGCUUUCUCUCUCUUCAUUAUCAUUUUGAAUGAUCGCAACUUUCUAGAUUCAAGAAUAAGAAUGGAUUAAUUUGUAAAAUCAGAGACCCAAUCUCACAAAUACUUUAGGUGCUCCUGCUUCUUUGUUCAUGGCACAGAAGUUGAAACAUACAAAUUUUGAUAAAGGUUUAGUAACAAAUUGGGAGUAAUCUAUUGUCUGUUUCUACAAAGGAAAAAAAAGAAAACAUUGAAACACAUUAAAAAUAUGAAACUCUUAGAAGGUCAUUUAUAACAUUCAAUGCAGUCUUAAGUAGCUGACAAUGAUCGUAUGCUUACUCCUCUGAAAGCAAGAGAUGACUACAUCUUUCAGGCAAUUAAUUCAAAGACUGCACCUUAAAUAUAUGACUGUUUGAAAAAGCUUUCAGUACCGCUAAGUAUCCCGAGAAUAUAGCAUGUUAUAAUGUGUGCAAAACAUGGAGUGAUUUGACAUCUAACUUUGGAACCUGAACCUCCGAGCUUAGCCUUGCAAUUUCAGUCUCUACUGCCCUGUUUUCCUACAGUGACAUAAACAGAAGAUGGCACUGUUUAUUCAUUUGUCUGAAAAUAAAAAGAUAUUUUCUGUUCUUUCAAGGAAAAAAAUAAAUGCUAGUAUACAAGUAAAACAGAAAAGAAAAUGGAGGUGAUCAUGCUUUUGGAGAAAAUGAUACUUUCUGCUGAGUCAGGACACAUGCUUAUAAAAGCUGCAGUAUUGUCAUGGCUCAGAGAAGAGCUACCUUUUGGUGUGACAGCUGUAUAAAGUUCAAAGCCUCUGUGAAACAGGGGGCAUGAAAUACAACAUACAGAGAUCAAACACCAGAGGAGGAGAGGGCAUGUAUUAAAGUUGUUUUUUGUGUACUGAAAAAAAAUACUAUGAGAACAUAAUUAUACAAAAAGAUGCAUUUGAUAAUUGGCUUGUUAAUACAGGUAUCAUCCAACACAGGGAGUUUUCUGUGGAGAUGCAUGAUUGUUUUUUUCACCAAGGGAAGCCUUGGAAUUAACAAAGGGGCUCCUGAGCUCCUGGUCUUAUGAACAUCCACAUACAUGUUUUCAAGUCCUUUAUUUUAUGAGGGAACAUAAAAGGCCCAGAAUGUCAUUUUUGCAAAAUCAGAGUCUUGAUCUACAAAUCAUCCAAUUCUUGGAAAAAAAUAAAAAGAACGUAUUAAGACAGGGGCUGUAUUAAUAGUUCACUGCAAAUAUGUGUUAAUAUAGUACUACUUUAUUUCAGUUAAUGAAAAUUACUGUUAUCUAAUCUGAAAGUUUAUUUUGAGAAAGCAGUAGAUACUUUAUAGAUAAGCCUACACUCUUACACUUAAAUUAUUAGCUGUAGUUGGAGUUAAACUGAAUAUCUCCAAGAGCUUCUAACUAACACAAAGGUGGGUGCAAAGGGUGUUAUCUUCCCAUUAGCUCCAGUACUCCCUUUAUAGGUGGCUGUUGGCAAAGAUAAGAAGACUGUCCACAGGAAAGCAGGAAAUUUAGUUGCCAUUUGGGAAGUUUUACAUGCUAAUUUUUCUUUUGCUUUUUUAUUUGUUUCUUGAUAUAAAUCCUAACUCUUGAGGACUGGCACUUUUGAGUAUUGCUGUGAUUUCCUGCUCAGUUGUUUCACUUAUCAAAUAGCUUCUCUUGUGUGACUAGAGCUAUUGAUCUGAAUAAAGUAAAGCAGGAUUUGGCCUAGCAUGAAAGUAAUCUUCAGGAUGUGAAUAAUACGAGCAAGCUGGAUUUUAAUUUGGAGAAGACUAUAAACUAUUUUUAUUUUCAAGCAAACAUAGCCAGCACAAUUCUAGAAAAGAAAUGCUAUUAAAUGUUUGCCAAAAUAAAUGGGGUUCUGUGAUCUUUUGGUAAUUGCUUAUGGUAUUGAAUAAGAUGUCCUGUUUUUCUUUGGAGAGUUUUCAACAGUUCAUUAAAAGAGCAGCACAGAGAGUUUGUGAUAGUCUAUGAAAAUGCUUGUAAUUCACUCCCUUUUCAGACUGAGAUAAAUCUGAAAUACGCCAUGCUAGUGAAGAGCUGAUUGAAGCUGAGCAUAUUUUCCUCUCUUUUGGUUACCACUGAAAGAAUGAGUGGAUUUUAUGGAACAAAUGUGUUUUCAGAAUUGAAGUGUGGGCUUUGGUGUAUUACAUGUCUCAAGGAACUUGAAAUGGUACUGUAAACUAUGUUCAUUUGCCCUUGUCCUUCAUUUCUUCUUAGUAGGAUUUUUCUUAUCCAUGACAGCAGUGUUAUUUAUAAAAAGGUGUUAUGGAAAGGAAAUAACUUAUGAGAAACCAAACAAGCAAAAACUCAUUUUGCAAGUGCAAGCUGAGAAAGAUACUCAUGCUAGGAGUACUUCCCAUAAGACUGUGUGACAGAAAAGGGCUUUAACCUUGUAACAAAUUAAUGUUUAUACUUGAAAGUCUUCCUGUUUUAUGUUUAAUUAUAACCUUAGAUCUGUAUUUUAGGUUUCUAAAUUUUUGGAGGCAAGCCAGUUUUGCUUUUAUUACUAAGCUUUCAAAGAGAUAGUUGGUUAAAUCUUAGGUAAGAAGACUGAAUUAUACAAUAUUAUAUAGAAAUCACUUUUUUAAUUUGAAAUCAAUAUUGCAAGAGGAGGAUUUUGAAGGAACAUUUGCCACACAAACCUAAGUUUCUUUUGAAAUUCUUGAUCCCAACUACCAACCCCCAGAGGUAACGUUCUACCUUUCCUAAUUUAUGUCAUAUUUUGCUGGAAUAAGCGAAUUGCCUUCUGUUUUCUUCUUUGUAAUCACUAGAAAAUUGAACUUUGAAUGUUAUGACCUAUUUCAAUGUAGCUGAUUGCUUGGCACAGAAUUCUAGUACAGUCUAUUGUGUACUUGUGAGAUAUACUUUUUGGGAAAGGAAUACAUAUGUGAAUCAAUGUAUUUCAUGGAUUUCCUGUCUAAUUUCAGAAUGUAUUAUAAUAUUCUCCUUGUAACAAAAGGCUAAUAGUCUAAAUGAAACUGCUUAAGUCAGUCCAGCCAGCAUGCUGUGCACCAACACCUUUGCUCUACAGAAAAUAUCAGAGAAGUUCAUCCAUUUGCCUACGCCUCACUGUUAAUACAUUAUGGCUAUUACCUAAGGUAUUGCUAUAGGAACUUCCAGAAUCUGUUUAUCUUGAAUACACAAUGGGUUUUUUAAGAUUUUUUUAAACACUCUUAGAAUCCUAUCAUUUUUGGAUUCGGAUCACCUUUAUCCUUGCAAGACAUACGUGCUUAUGGGUCACAUUUACAUUUGCAUGUGUGGGCUGAGAUGUAACUUGGUAUUACAUAGCUGCACACUCCUGAGUUACAAAAUAAGGCCAUGUGCAGGUCCUAAAGGUAAUGUUUCUUUUAGAAAUACGUACUUAUUUUCCCUUCUUUGCAUAGGGAAGGGCAUGGUCAAACUGGACUCUUACAAUAUAGUUACUGUGGCAGAAUUUAUCUUUCCACUGUUCUCCAUAAGCUUUUUAACGUCUUUGUCCUUUCAGAAGGACUCUGAAAUAUGGAGAGAGAAAAACAAAAACAAAUGAAAACAAAUCAGCAAACUUUCCAGCAGCUCCUGUAAGGAUUUCAUCAGCUUUUACAACCAGCUUUUAGCUCCUCUCUACACUUCGCUCACCUGGGACUUAGAAGAACUACAGUAGCUAGGAUUUUCCCUGUCCAAGCUGUGUAAGACUCUAGCAUUGUGUAUCCAGGCCACUUGGAUUUAUUUGCUCAUGUUUUUAAGAGGAAGAAAAUGCCUAAAUGACAUCUAAGGAUACAUUUUAUUUAAAACAAACAAAAAUCACAGCAAUAAUCUUGUUGCAUCCAGAAUGAACUUCAAAACCUUCCUGUGUUAUCAUUUGCCCUAUGUAAUUGCAAUGUCUGUUUUUACUGCACUUUUCUACUCUGAUGCACAACAAAAUUAAUUUCACAAUGACAAAGGAAAUCUUGGCCCUGAGCUUGCUUAAAGCCAUCAUGAGUCUGAAUCCUGCAGGAGUUUCUGCCAGAGGGGCUGAGAGUUGCAAUGAAUGGACUACUUAACCUGUGAACUAGUAGAAAAUAAUGUUGACCUCCAGCUAUCCAAGCAGUAUAUUUACUAAAUAAAUAAACUGUAAGGAAUGCCCUUCUAUUCCAGGGUCAGGUCAAUGUACAAUUUUAGGUGAAAAAUAAUGCUAUUUAUGGUUUUCUCCCUGUAAGUAAAUCUAAAUUUACUAUGUAGCUAGAUGGAAUUCAUUCAGUAAGUGUAUCAAAGACUGUAACUAACGAUUAUUUUAUGAAUUUCUUUCUGUGGUUGUACAAUCAACAAAUAUACAAUCAGCAAAGUGGCAUGGUUAGGCUGGUAUUUUACAGGAUUGUCACGGUGGAAAGGGAUAAUUGAAAAUAAAUGAAAAUGCUCACCCAUAUCCUAGGCUUGCAGAAAAUCACCAAAAGGAGCAAUCUCCAGAAAGAGAUGCUUCCCCCAUGACAGCCAGCCCUCAGAAGGGGUCUAGGAGAGGUGGAACCAGGCUCCAUCCCUUCCAGCCAUACAGUUGAAUUGCUUUCACCUGUUCUCCCACAGCUAACUCAGUGCUUGCCUCAGGUGAUCAGUCAGUGGUUCAGGCUGUAAUUCAACAUUCCCACACACUCCACUACUUCACAGUAUGAACCAACGAUCAGGUUAGCUAGAGGGUGAGCCUUCUCUAAUACAGAGAUCCAAUACAUCAUGAUGCUUAUACAAUUGCUUGUUGCGAUGCAUAUUGACACAAUUUAAGACAAGUGAUGAUCAGCAUAUGGUGAAAGUUCAUGCUCUUUUAUGGGCCAGUACUUGGUGGUGUUACUGGAGGCACGUAGUCGUGUGGUACAGGAUCAUCCUAUGCUCCAUCAGUCCCAUGUAGACCGUCACUGGGUGUCACACAUGAUCUGACAGCAACACUAGAAUGCUUUGAUGGCAUUUUGUUCCAGUGAUCCUAGAGGCUCAAAGACUCACAGGGAGUAAAAUAGAUAUUUCAGAGGUACAAGGAGGGAAAGGUCUGACUUCCAGGGCAGGAUACAGGCCAUACAUAUAUCCUGGGUCAACACUUCAACUUGUACCAUGGUAUGUCCCAGCCACCUGUACCAUACCUUUUGGCCAGAUGUCUGUGGCUGCAUAACUAUAUCAGGUACUAAAGGGGGUAUUCUGAUCUGCCCUAGGGCACACAAUAGCAGUCCCUUUAGCGAUGAAGAUUGUAGUGUUGACCACAAUAUCUGUAGGCUAUAUACCUAUUAUUGAAGGGACUACUGAUCCUCCCAGCUUCAGUAAUCUCCUCCAAAGCACAAGUAUGCCAUACCAUUUGGUCCUACCUCCACCUUCCAAGGCCAUUUUAUUCUAUGGGGGCCCAGAUCUAAAUUCUCAGGGGCAAAGAGCAGAUUAUUUUCAUUGCUAGUCUAGGGUCUUACUUGAUUACUGGUACCCAUAAUUUGGACUCUAAGUGGAGAGAUCCAUGUUGCCUGUAGCAUUUUCAAGGUACUGGAUCUGCUAUCUCUAGGUCUUUCAUUCAGGUCCCUCAGGGUUUCAUAGAGUCUCUUCAUCCACCCCUGCAGGAAAAGAGAGUCUGCCUUCAGGGCUACUAUAAGAAUACUGUUAUGAUGUUCAACUGAGGCCUGCCCCCAUUGGAUUAUAGGGCAGGUGAAAGCUUUGAGUGAACCCUCCAGAAAGAAAUCUUUCCCCAGUGGCAGUCAGCCCUUAAAUGGGGUCUAGGAGAGGUGGAGCUAUGCUCCACCCCUUCCAGUCACACAGUUGAAUUACCUUCACCCACACUCCCAUGGCUGACUCAGUGCUUGCCUCAGGUGAUCAAUCAGUGAUUCACAGGUGAUCCAUCACCUUUUCUUAGUUUCACUGGUUGUUAAAAAGGGAGCAGAUCAGGCUGGCUUGCUCAUCUCCAGCACCUUUUCUGAUGUGAUGAGUCUUUCCUCUUCAGUCUGCAGAGCAACAGCAGGCUUUGGAGGCAGUCUCCCUCUAGCUUGCCAUGGUUAUUUAGAAUUACAGGCACACAUCUGGGAACAUUUCUGCCACCUCAGGCAAGUCUGGUAAUGUCAUUCAGAUAAGGGAUUGGAAUAUGGGUCUGAGUUUGCACCUGACUUGGCAUUAUGCUUUAGUGUUCCUAGUAACUACUACAAACUUAUUUGAACUUUCUUCCUAAACAAGUUUUUAGCUAGGCAGAUGCCCCCACCAACUCUCCUGUAUUCUACUGUGCAUUCCUUGAGACAUACAGGCUUCAGCAUAACACUUAAAGAAAAAAAAUCCCUGCCAACUCUGACUGCAAAUUCACAUUACAUUAAAAGCAGAAUGGAAGAUUAGGGUACUAAAAAAAAACUUUACAAGCUAAACAAACCCUUACAGUAAAUAGGUUUGCAAAGAAAUCUGUCUUUUUCUUCUUAAAUUGCUUCAAAGAUGAAAGUUCCUUGUUGAUGGUUUAAGGGCUGGUCCAGCCCGGUUCCAUGACUAGUGGGGCGGAGGGCUUUCGCAAAAUCCGCACCUCUAGGAAGGGAAACAGGGGACCCCAAAAUAAUUUAAAAACAGCGGCAACGAUCUGAAGAGAAACAAACUAAUUUACUAAAUAUAGUAUCGGAAUGUAAGAUAACACACUAUAAUACAAUAUAAAUCAACAAUAAUUGAGAGAAAGAUUGUCCAAGAGCCAAAGGACUUACACUAAUACUGAAGCCUUGUGCGCAGUCGGAAGCAACAGUAGCGAGCUGAUCCGGUAGGGAACAUGGCAAGACGAGAAGAAGGCUGAGUCAGAUGACCUGCACCCUUAUAUCUAUUCCCUUGAGCAGGAAUGAUAACAGUAGUCGAAAAGACUCUUGGGGAACGCAGUUCUUCUUCUCUUCCAGACAGGUACAUGAAACUAAAGCAUUUGCUCUUUAACUCCCAGUACAAUGCAUGAUAUUGUGAUGUGCAAUACUGAUAACCAGAAAUCAUAAAACCAUGACAUUCCUGUUUUAAGAUUCUGGAAAAAUUAUCUUUAUAUAAAAUAAAUAAAUAAAUCUGGAACUGAGUUCAAGUAGAAGGAAUAGAAUGCAUGAUUCCAAAUUUUACGUGUGUCAUACAAUAGGUUUGUAUAUAUUGCAUAGAAUUCUGUAAAGUAGCAAGACUUGAUUAAGGGGAAACAUACACAGCAACUUUCUGAAGACUUGGCUUCUAAUCGUACAGCUUCUAAUCAUACUGUUAUCAACGGCUUUUCUAACAAUGGGUGCCAUCUUUUUAUAGAGCUGAUCAAUAACGAAAGAAAAUAUCCUACAUUUUCUUCUAAAAAGAAGUAACACAUUAGCUUGCUUUGUCACGGCCUCCUUAUAUUGGUAAAAAUGUCUGAGAAAUUAUACAGGGUCCAUUAUUUGGAAAAUCCAUUGGGAAAAUGGUAGCAAAGAUGAAAUAAUAAUGAAUAAAGUUACAAUAUCUAAAAUUGGGAAACAGAAACUAUGUCCUGUUGUUAAGAGAAUUAGUGUCUUCUAUGAAUACAGAGUCUGAAUAUGUUUAGUGUUGCUAUGUGAAACAAAACUUCAGGAUGUAAAUUUUUUCUCUCUCUUUAUUUGAGGGUAAAACCAGGAUUUCUUGUUGUCUGUGACAUUUUUAACUUCUACCAUCAAAUUUUGUAGAGUUCUCCCAAGAUUAUGAAUUUUCAUUUUCCUCAUGUGCCUGUAUCAAGGAGCCAGGAUGUCUUCAUGCCAUGAGGUGAAAGACAAAGUCCUCUAAAAUUUAUUCUUUGAGAAUCCAUCUACAGUUAAGGUUUGAGACAGUCUCCAGCCCAGAGAUUCAGGGCAUCUUUGUGUAUUCUGUUCAAAAUAAUCAAUACUACAGUUUAAAGGAGACAAGGGAGAGACCUAAGUGAUGAUCAACAGCAAAAUCCAUGACCAGGGCUCUCUAUAAAGAGAGAAGACCUUGGCUGUGCAUGACUUCCCAGAUCAUGACAAAAGAUAAUCGAAGUGGCAGCAAAAGCAAAACUCCUUUGAACAGUCUUAGAGCAGAAGGAGGAUGCUACUAGUUUCAGCACAAUUUGGUGUCAUUACUCAUCUCUCUUUCUGUGGGAAUGUCUGGUCUGCCCACAGCUGUGCUAUAAAUCAUAAUUAGUAUCAUGAAUAUUUUUCCUUCACAGCAGUUAAUGAACUAAAUAUCAGAAGUUUAUUACUUUAUUAGAGAACUGUUACAACCUUUGAACACAAUAUGUUGUUUAAAGCAAAAAUGAUGAUGAAUAUUCACUAGGAACUUUUUUAUUUUAUUUCAUUUCACUUUUUUUUUCCUUUCUAUACACAAGAUGUAGCCACUUUUAUUUGUCUGAAGGUGACAAAAGAAGGAAACACUACACAGGUCAGUGGAGUUAAUGUGGGAUUGAACUGAAUGGAGAACUAGGUUUGUAAUGUAGCCCUGAGUCUGCCUUUUCAUUGUUCUUAUGCUGGUAUCACUACUGAUUCAGAGUUGUUUUUCAUUGGUAUUAUUCAAACAGGUAGCACCUCCACACAGAAAUUACCCUGGGAUCCUGGUGGAUGGCAAAUUUAAUGUGAACUGUAGAGAACUCUUCUGGUGAGAAAGACCUGCAGUAUACUGACUUGCAUUAGUUCAGUGCAGACAGCAGAUCAAGUGAAAUAAUUGCUCCCCUUCAGUCAAAUGCUGUGAUGCUGUAUCUGAAUGAGUUCCGUCGUGGUCUUCACAGCCAAGAAAGGUAGUGACAAACUGCAGAGAGCCCAGGGAAGGGUUAUUAAAUAUAAACCAACCAUUUGGUUAGUGGUGUACUUCCAUGGGGACAGGCUGAGAGAACUUGAUUUGCUUAGCCUGCAAAGGAGAAGGAAAAUUCUAAUUGCUAUUGUUAACAGUGUUUUUGGCUAGAGAGGAGACAGAUAGCAUCAGACUCUUAGAAGUAAAAUGCAAGAUGACAGAAGGCAGUGUUCAUAGGUUGCUACAGGGGAAAUUCUGAAUGGAAACAAGGAAGAAAAUCUUCACAAUAAAGACAUCUGAAUGCUAGUACUACUUGUGCAGGGGGGAUGAGGCAUCUCUACUCUUGACAAAACUCAGAACUUUUCUGAACCCAGAUCUGAGACUCCUGGUCAAACUUUGAAGUUUGCCCUGCUUUGAGCAGGCGAUUAAACUGAGUGACCUACAGAGAAGCCUCCCAGCUGAAGCAUUCUAGGAUCCUUUGAUCCUGCACAUACUAGCCAUUGGCUGGAGGAAAAAAAUAAGACAUUUUCUGGCAUAUACAUACCAAAGUUUUAGUCAGCUCAGUUGUGCUGUGACCAAAUUUGGUCAUUGCCUACUAAACUAAUCUUGGUGUUUGAUAGUAUCUCUAAAUAAUUUCUGGUACAUAGCAGAGAGCAUAUUUUUAGGUUUCUACAACAAAUAAGGAGCAGGGUGUUUUCUAAUUAUACAGAAGGAACUAUGGUCUACUAUGUAUUAAAGGGGACAUCAGCUUGUGAAAAGUCCUCCCAGCUUGACAUAAGCAUUUCUGUUUUCCUCCCUGUGUGUUAUACGUAAUCACAUCUCUAGAAUUUUGACUUAAUGUGGUAUGGAUAACUUCACAUCUCAGCUGUUGAGACUGAUUAAUACAUACAUUCAGCAGUGUUUGAUAAAGAUUUCUUCCUGCUGUAAAUAUCCACUAUAUAUAAAUAUCCACUGUCCAAAUGAAUACUGUUGAAGUAAUAAUUCAUUUCAAAGUAGACUAAGCAAAUCUGAGAUUAUAUUGAAUUGUCUCCAGACUCCAUUAAAAGCAUAGUACAUGGUAUCAUUUUCACUCAGAGAGCCACCAGGAAAUGAAGCAAUCUGCUAAGCUCUCAUUUCUCAUUUUUUAGCAACUGUGUUUAUGUGGAUUUUUUGGGAAAUAAUAGGAAUUAAGAGACAAGGUUUGCAUUCUCAGCACGUGAUCCUGAGUAGGUCAUUUUUUUAAUCUCCAACUCACUCUGUAGAGAAGGUAUUUACAUGUAUUUUUAUUUUAUGACAUUCUUGAUUUAUGGAUUGAGAAGAAUGCAGUGUAUGAGUUAGAUCUUAUAAAAACAACAUUAGAAUUGACAUUGAAAAUGCAGCCAUUUAUGAAUUCAGUAUUUAGUCAAUACUGCAUAUGGAAUUUAACAGCAACAAUAUCCAGCCAGAUGUGAUUUCCUCUCAUUUUAUAUUGCAGGGUAGGGGGAAAUGUAUGCAACUAAAACCAAACCUUGUAAACAGCAACAGCAGCAACAACAGACUAAUCUGUGGAAAGUUAAUUGAACCAUUCCAAGCACUUUAGGAUGUCAAAAUCUUUAAAGCUGAAAAAUAGGCAUUCCCCUCAAAUGGUCUCUCUCCUGCUGGUAUAGAACACCUUGAUGUAGAGCUGUAGGGUUUAUUUGUGCCACAGAGCAUGUCUGUUACUUUGUAUGUGCUGCUGAAAAAUGUGUUAGUAUUUAAAUAUUAGCACAAAAGAAUGUUAUAUUUCCUGCUCUAACAAGAUCAGUUUCGAUAAAACCAAAUUUAUUCAUUCUUUUCUAUCCAUAUCUUGCAGCAUCAUUUUGCACUUCUCUUAGAGACUACACUACAGCAAUGUGAUCUGUGGUAGUCCUGUGAGCCCCAGGACCUUGAGUUACUUCCUUGCUGAAUCCAGUGGCAGCCUUGACAAGCAAUCUCGUUAGCAUUAGCCUACAAUUAAAUUGAAAGGAAAGUAGCUAAGCAUGCUUUUAUCUUUCUAAGACUUAUUAAAUUUCUUUCUAAACAGAAACUAUGAAUAAAGGCCUUGUGAUGCUAGCCAGCAGACAAUUCCUCAGAUGUAUAAGUUGAUAUAGACUAGUUAUUAAUGAAAGGAUAGAAAAGAUUAUGUUAAUUACCACCUGGCAUCGUGAGACUCUAAUCGCAUUCAGAAUAUCAAUGAAGCCAAUGAUUUUGAUUGUCAGAGCAAUAAUUUUGAGGGCUUGGUCCUUGGAGAUAUCAUAGUGAAGUCCUCUUCAGAAAAGUCUCAUUUCAUUUUAAUGAAAAUAUUCAAUAUUUGAGCUGAGAUGCAGAUUAAAGUCCAAGCUGAAUGUGAAAUCUAACUCAAAAAGCACUUUAAAAGCCAUCAGAUAAUUGCAAAUUUGGAUAAGAAACCUAGAGACUAGCCCAACAAUCAACUUAGCUGUUUCUUUUAGCUCAACAAAAGCCAGUGACUUCUAAAUAACAAUCAAACAGGUAAAAUUAAUAAUUGAGUCAGCUCCAAAUCUCAGUUCUGACAGCUUAAUUUGAGUAAAAGCUUUAUGUGAACUUUUUUAUCUAAUAGAAAAUGUGGUCUAUUUUAAUACUCAGAUCUAAACUUCUACAGUUAAAAAAAACGGGAAAAAAAUGUAAUUCAUCUCACCAUGUAAAAGCUACCCGUUGCUGCCCUGUAUUAUUCUUAUGAUAACUUGAAUUUUUUGUUAGCUGCUGUCUGUGUCUGAGGUUAUUUUCUAAGAAGCUUUGCCAAUGCUUAAUUUCUACUUACAGGAUGAGUGUAGCAGAAAAUAAUGCAAAUGCCAAAGCAGUUCAAAACAAACACAGCUUUUCUUCUGCCAUACAAACCCAUUACAGUGUUUACCAGUCCACCUGUGGGGUUCUGUUCAUGCUAUUUGUUAAUCAGCCCACGCUUCCAAACCCAAAAGUGAAUUUUAAUCUUUUUUAGAGCUGUGUUUUCUUGGAAUUAUUAUCUGCACCCCCUCAAAAACAAAACAAACCCACAAAAAUGUGUGAUUCUUGAUGUAGAGGAUUUCAGCUACUGAGGGAAUGUUAGUUGGCUUACCUAAGGUACUUUCUGUGGAAAGCCUUGAUGUUGUCCAUUUUGAGACCACCAAUUGAGUAGGUCAGUAUUCUCAAAUUAAAAUAAUUGUUAGAAAAAAAUAAUAAUUGAGGAACACUCCUGGCAUGUUACUGUGCCUAAACUGAACAACACUUCUAUAUCAUUUGAGGGUAGCCAUUUUGUUUUCUAAAUGUAAAUAUCAAGCACCAUGCUGUCUGCUUCCUCUGAAGGACCUAAGCACUGUAAACGUUUAGUGAUUGUAAAGGAAAACAGGGAAAUAUCAUCAGGGGAACUGCUGAUACCUGUAGCAUACGCUGAAGAUAUAAUGGCAAAGGAAACACUGAGUUAUUUUUGAGAUUGUUUUGGGUAGUUUGUAAGCCAAAGGUGAUACAAGAACUGUUAUAAAUAAAUUUGAAUUACUUUGUAGCAAGCAGUAUUCUCAAUUUAUUAUUGAAGAUUUUAUAUAAUGUAAAUUUUCACAAGAAUGAAUAAAAUAGAGUUUUAUUUAUUUACAGUAACAUAACUCCAUUGCCAGUGGACUUCUAAUAUCCAUCUGGAGGUAGGAUAGUUGGGUGUUUUGAUAUUUACAGACAUGAAUAGGUUUCUAAAUUACAUGUGGUGAAUAGAUCUUCUCAGCAUUGUUUGAGCUUGCACAGGCUUUCUCCUUUGAUCCUACAUAUUAGUCUGUUUAGUUCUAGGUUUAGGAGCUCAGAAGAUUCAAAGUGUUGAGGAGAAGGUAUUAAGCUCACGUAUUUAUUAGAUGCCCAAGAGUGAGUUUGUGGAGGGAACUGUAGGGUCAAAGUAACCUCUAUACAGUUUAUCUGUGUACUGUGUAUUAUUCAGGUUACUCACAGAUGAAAAUAAUAGUAAUAAUAAUGGGAAUAUUUGCAUAGAACCAGAAGACAAAUGGAACACAGUGUUGUUAGAGAUUGUCUUGUAGCUGUUAUGUAAACCAAAGGCUCAGUAAAAUAGAAUAAUAACUCCUGUCUGUGCAUAUAUCAAGUAAAUACCUAGAAGCCAAAUUGUUUUGUAAGCUGAAUGUCUUAGGCUUGUGGUUGAGGCAUGCAACUCAGUGAGGUUCUCCCCUGUAUGAUCAGGUUCUGUGACUUGGAAAGUAAAAAUUAGAAACAUAAAGGUGAGCUCAUAUAGAGAACUUAGAGCAAUGUGUAGGCUUGACCUUUGGCGAUGAUUGGCUACUUGAAAUAUGUGAGGGAGAGCGAUAAUCAAGAACGGUCCUUGGCCCAUCACCUAAUUCCCUGCAGUAUCUUUCACAGUGGCCCAUACAGACAUGCAUAUGUAUAAUUUGGAUAAGGAAAUAAACUUAUUUUUUUUCUCUAUCUCUGACAGCUUGAUGUUUGAAAUGAAUGAGUCUGCUGUUCAAGAGACAGGGUAGGGUGCUUUAAUGAGAACACAUGCUUGCUUACAACAAAUAAAUGAGAAAAUACAAUCUCACACAUGUAAGAAUGUAUUAUGAUCUUAGAACUGAACAUCCUGAAAAGCAAUUUUUUACUGUAAAUUGCACACUUGUCUAUGAGCAGAGCAGCCUUUGAUAAAGAGCAGUAAAUAUUCAAAGCAAAAAUACUUUGUUCCUUGUUACAAAUAGCGAUCUAUUGCUAAACUGAAGGCCAAUUAAAGCUACCUACAUGGAUAAUCACAGUUUCUGAAAAAAAAUGUAGGUCUUUCCUCAGCUCAUAGAUUUAUGACCUUGGAUUUUUACUCUGCAGCACAAGGAGCAUCAAUUGAAUUUGUUAGAAAAAUGAAUCUGUAAUAUCACAAAGUUUCAACAUGUUCCUGAACUUUUUUUUUUAAGCAAAUACCCUUUCUGCAGCUCAUAGAUGAGUAAUGUAUUAUUAAAAAAAAUAAUAAUAAAUUACUUAAAAAUGUAGUGAGGGAGUGAUUAAUUUGCAUUUUUAUUUUGGUCCUUGUAAUUAGCAGCUGUUAAUAAUCAAGUCUAACCUGACUCAUUUGCAAACAGAGGUGAGAGAGCUAUGGAGGAUUAAAAUUCUCAUGAUAUUCUAAGAAUUCAGAAAUCCAUGAAGCAUAAUUACCUCUAAGAAAUGGUAGAAAUUGUUAGUAUGAAGCCACCUGACAAAAGGAAUGUUGAUUCAUAACUUUUUCUGAAGACAUAUCUUCUGCGUCUACUUUGAUUAUAUACAGCAAUAGAAAUUUCUGGAAAUUCACUUUUCACAGCAAUGUAAAUAAAGGUAACAGCUGUAUAAGUUUAGAAAAUUUUUUGUUUUCUGGUUUAUUAAAUCAGUAUGGCUCCUUUCAUGUUAGACAAGGAGGCAGUUCUAAGUAUAGUAAAUACAAUCGGGCUUUACUUUAUACUCUAAAUAUAGUUUGUACCACCAGGGAAGAGAGUAACAAUAGCUCUUCUAAAGCUGCCUAGAGAGUGUAAUCAUGACCUCGUCACAAACAAGAUUUGGUGUGCAGAAUUCUUCUGUCUUCAGCUGUUGCUUAGGCAAUGGGUACUGCCAACUCCUACUGCUGAGCUAAAAUAUGGCUUUACUGUGGUUUUGGGCCAAUUACUAGUUGAUGGAGAUUGUUCAGCAGCAAUUAAGAUGAGAUUACACAUGCUUCUGCUUGGAUGCACAAGUUUUCUCCCAACAACCUGGAUUGGUCAUAUGAGACUUUGCUUCUUUGCUGUUACCAGUACUUUUGCUUGCUACUUAAACAUGGGAAUACAAGAAAAAUUGUUCAGAGCAGCAGCUGUGGAGCAAGAUAAACAGCAAGAGAACCAAGGACACCUCUAGAAGAAGAAAGAAUGGCUUGCAGCUCUGAUUGGAUAAACGCUCGCAUGAAUGUUUGAAGAGUGUUUGUAGAAUGCUCUGUUGACAUGUAAAGGAGGAUGGGAAAGCUAGAAAAAGAAAACUUGUGAAGAUAUAUAAUUGAUGUGAGAACUUGUAAUAAACGAUUUGGAUCAUUCACAUCUGAGCCCG
ensembl:lncRNA